UACGGAGGAUGCGAGCGUUAUCCGGAUUUAUUGGGUUUAAGGGGUGCGUAGGCGGACUGUCAAGUCAGCGGUAAAAUUGAGAGGCUCAACCUCUUCCCGCCGUUGAAACUGGUGGUCUUGAGUGGAUGAGAAGUACGCGGAAUGCGUGGUGUAGCGGUGAAAUGCAUAGAUAUCACGCAGAACUCCGAUUGCGAAGGCAGCGUACCGGCAUCCAACUGACGCUGAGGCACGAAAGCGUGGGGAUCAAACAGG
rnacentral:rRNA from 1 species